AUUGAACGCUGGCGGCAGGCCUAACACAUGCAAGUCGAGCGGAUGAAGGGAGCUUGCUCCUGGAUUCAGCGGCGGACGGGUGUGUAAUGCCUAGGAAUCUGCCUGGUAGUGGGGGAUAACGUCCGGUAACGGGCGCUAAUACCGCAUACGUCCUGAGGGAGAAAGUGGGGGAUCUUCGGACCUCACGCUAUCAGAUGAGCCUAGGUCGGAUUAGCUAGUUGGUUGGGUAAAGGCCUACCAAGGCGACGAUCCGUAACUGGUCUGAGAGGAUGAUCAGUCACACUGGAACUGAGACACGGACCAGAGUCAGACGGGAGGCAGCAGUGGGGAAUAUUGGACAAUGGGCGAAAGCAUGAUCCAGCAAUGCCGCGUGUGUGAAGAAGGUCUUCGGAUUGUAAAGAACUUUAAGUUGGGAGGAAGGGCAGUAAGUUAAUACCUUGCUGUUUUGACGUUACCAACAGAAUAAGCACCGGCUAACUUCGUG
rnacentral:rRNA from 1 species